UACGGGGGGAGCAAGCGUUGUUCGGAUUUACUGGGCGUAAAGGGCUCGUAGGCGGCCAACUAAGUCGGAUGUGAAAUCCCCAGGCUCAACUUGGGAACUGCAUCCGAUACUGGAUGGCUUGAAUUCGGGAGAGGGAUGCAGAAUUCCAGGUGUAGCGGUGAAAUGCGUAGAUAUCUGGAGGAAUACCGGUGGCGAAGGCGGCAUCCUGGACCGACAUUGACGCUGAGGAGCGAAAGCUAGGGGAGCAAACGGG
rnacentral:rRNA from 1 species